rnacentral:tRNA from 1 species
GGGCGAGUGGCGGAAUUGGUAUACGCGGAGGACUUAAAAUCCUCUGGAAGAAAUUCUGUGCGGGUUCGAGUCCCGCCUCGCCCACCA